GUGAGAAAUCUUUCUUAUCUCUAUAAUUUUUAAUGUGUGUAGACAAUUUGUGAAUCCUUGUUCCUUAAGUCUUUCUCAGUCUUAGGAAGCAUGCUGAACAUCAGAUGUUUCAGAAAGGAGAACAGGUUUAUCCAAAAACAACUUGGCAAAACUUGGAAACACUUUACCAAUAGCAGGAUGGCACCGAGUACACAUGUGGCAUGUUCAGGCUUCCUCGGUCAUCUUGGCCCCCAGGGCUCUCCCACACAUGGACAAAAGUGUCUGUUAUGAGUAGGAUAGAAGUCCUUGCCAAGAUGACUUGAGUAUUUACUUGGGCUGCAGAACUGUCACCAGGAAGAGUACUUGGCACCGGUGGGUGAUAUCCGGUGAAUACGAG
ensembl:lncRNA